rnacentral:rRNA from 1 species
CAGAAGUGCGAAUGCUGACAUAAGUAACGAUAAAGCGGGUGAAAAGCCCGCUCGCCGGAAGACCAAGGGUUCCUGUCCAACGUUAAUCGGGGCAGGGUGAGUCGACCCCUAAGGCGAGGCCGAAAGGCGUAGUCGAUGGGAAACAGGUUAAUAUUCCUGUACUUGGUGUUACUGCGAAGGGGGGACGGAGAAGGCUAUGUUGGCCGGGCGACGGUUGUCCCGGUUUAAGCGUGUAGGCUGGUUUUCCAGGCAAAUCCGGAAAAUCAAGGCUGAGGCGUGAUGACGAGGCACUACGGUGCUGAAGCAACAAAUGCCCUGCUUCCAGGAAAAGCCUCUAAGCAUCAGGUAACAUCAAAUCGUACCCCAAACCGACACAGGUGGUCAGGUAGAGAAUACCAAGGCGCUUGAGAGAACUCGGGUGAAGGAACUAGGCAAAAUGGUGCCGUAACUUCGGGAGAAGGCACGCUGAUAUGUAGGUGAAGUCCCUCGCGGAUGGAGCUGAAAUCAGUCGAAGAUACCAGCUGGCUGCAACUGUUUAUUAAAAACACAGCACUGUGCAAACACGAAAGUGGACGUAUACGGUGUGACGCCUGCCCGGUGCCGGAAGGUUAAUUGAUGGGGUCAGCGCAAGCGAAGCUCUUGAUCGAAGCCCCGGUAAACGGCGGCCGUAACUAUAACGGUCCUAAGGUAGCGAAAUUCCUUGUCGGGUAAGUUCCGACCUGCACGAAUGGCGUAAUGAUGGCCAGGCUGUCUCCACCCGAGACUCAGUGAAAUUGAACUCGCUGUGAAGAUGCAGUGUACCCGCGGCAAGACGGAAAGACCCCGUGAACCUUUACUAUAGCUUGACACUGAACAUUGAGCCUUGAUGUGUAGGAUAGGUGGGAGGCUUAGAAGUGUGGACGCCAGUCUGCAUGGAGCCGACCUUGAAAUACCACCCUUUAAUGUUUGAUGUUCUAACGUUGACCCGUAAUCCGGGUUGCGGACAGUGUCUGGUGGGUAGUUUGACUGGGGCGGUCUCCUCCUAAAGAGUAACGGAGGAGCACGAAGGUUGGCUAAUCCUGGUCGGACAUCAGGAGGUUAGUGCAAUGGCAUAAGCCAGCUUGACUGCGAGCGUGACGGCGCGAGCAGGUGCGAAAGCAGGUCAUAGUGAUCCGGUGGUUCUGAAUGGAAGGGCCAUCGCUCAACGGAUAAAAGGUACUCCGGGGAUAACAGGCUGAUACCGCCCAAGAGUUCAUAUCGACGGCGGUGUUUGGCACCUCGAUGUCGGCUCAUCACAUCCUGGGGCUGAAGUAGGUCCCAAGGGUAUGGCUGUUCGCCAUUUAAAGUGGUACGCGAGCUGGGUUUAGAACGUCGUGAGACAGUUCGGUCCCUAUCUGCCGUGGGCGCUGGAGAACUGAGGGGGGCUGCUCCUAGUACGAGAGGACCGGAGUGGACGCAUCACUGGUGUUCGGGUUGUCAUGCCAAUGGCACUGCCCGGUAGCUAAAUGCGGAAGAGAUAAGUGCUGAAAGCAUCUAAGCACGAAACUUGCCCCGAGAUGAGUUCUCCCUGACCCUUUAAGGGUCCUGAAGGAACGUUGAAGACGACGACGUUGAUAGGCCGGGUGUGUAAGCGCAGCGAUGCGUUGAGCUAACCGGUACUAAUGAACCGUGAGG